rnacentral:rRNA from 1 species
CGCAAGAGUGAAACUUAAAGGAAUUGACGGAAAGGCACCACCAGGUGAUGCGAAGCCUGCGGCUUAAUUUGACUCAACACGGGAAAACUUACCAGGUCCAGACAUAGUAAGGAUUGACAGAUUGAAGUUCUUUCAUGAUUCUAUGCAUGGUGGUGCAUGGCCGUUCUUAGUAGGUGGAGUGAUUUGUCUGGUUAAUUCCGAUAACGUACGAGACCUCAGCCAUCUAAAUAGCUGUAGCUAACUUGUUAGCGAAGACUAACGUCAUAACAGCUUCUUAGAGGGACAAUCUGUGUUUAACAGAAGGAGGAUUGAGGCAAUAACAGGUCAGUGAUGCCCUUAGAUGAUCUGGGCUGCACGCGCGCUACAAUGGUUCACUCAAAAAGUUUAACCUAUCCUGAAAAGGCUGGGUAAUCUUUAAAAUGAAUCUAAGUUGGGAUAGAUGAUUGCAAUUGUUCAUCUUGAACAAGGAAUAUCUAGUAAACGCAAGUCAUCAACUUGCAUUGAUUACGUCCCUGCCCUUUGUACACACCGCCCGUCGCUUCUACCGAUUGAAUAAUCCGGUGAAUUGAGUGGAUAAACAGGUAGCUUCGGCAUGCCAUGUUUAAAAGCUCUGUGAACCAAAUUAUUUA